GCCGGAAUUGCUAGUAAUGGCAGGUCAGCAUACUGCCGUGAAUACGUUCCCGGGCCUUGUACACACCGCCCGUCACACCAUGGGAGUCGGGAAUGCCCGAAGUCAGUGACCCAACCUAUUGGAGGGAGCUGCCGAAGGCAGGUCUGAUAACUGGGGUGAAGUCGUAACAAGGUAUC
rnacentral:rRNA from 1 species